GUGCGUGUGCGUUGGAUCUUGGGGUCGCUUUCUGGGCUAAGCAAGUUGGUCAGCAUCAGUGUUCUCGGGGUUUCGACAGCGUAUAGUGUGUUUGAAACGCUAAGUGCUUUUUUCCAGUUUUCUUCCCUUGUAAGUCAAAAACAAAAACACAAACACCAUGGACGCCAUCAAGAAGAAGAUGCAAGCGAUGAAGCUUGAGAAGGAUAACGCCAUCGACAAGGCCGACACCUGCGAGAACCAAGCCAAGGAUGCCAACUCCCGCGCCGACAAACUGAACGAGGAGGUGCGCGAUCUGGAGAAGAAGUUCGUCCAGGUGGAGAUCGAUCUGGUCACCGCCAAGGAGCAGCUGGAGAAGGCCAACACCGAGCUGGAGGAGAAGGAGAAGCUCCUGACCGCCACCGAGUCCGAGGUGGCCACCCAGAACCGCAAGGUGCAACAGAUUGAGGAGGAUCUGGAGAAGUCCGAGGAGCGCUCGACCACCGCCCAACAGAAGCUGCUGGAGGCCACCCAGUCGGCCGAUGAGAACAACCGCAUGUGCAAGGUGCUGGAGAACCGUUCCCAGCAGGAUGAGGAGCGCAUGGACCAGCUGACCAACCAGCUGAAGGAAGCCCGCAUGCUGGCUGAGGAUGCCGAUACCAAGUCCGACGAGGUCUCCCGCAAGCUGGCCUUCGUUGAAGACGAGCUGGAGGUGGCUGAGGAUCGUGUCCGCUCCGGCGAGUCCAAGAUCAUGGAGCUGGAGGAGGAGCUCAAGGUUGUCGGUAACUCCCUGAAGUCCCUGGAGGUGUCCGAGGAGAAGGCCAACCAGCGCGUGGAGGAGUUCAAGCGCGAGAUGAAGACCCUGUCCAUCAAGUUGAAGGAGGCCGAGCAGCGCGCCGAGCACGCCGAGAAGCAAGUGAAGCGCCUGCAGAAGGAGGUCGACAGGCUAGAGGACCGUCUCUUCAAUGAGAAGGAAAAAUACAAAGCAAUCUGCGACGAUUUGGACCAGACAUUUGCCGAACUUACUGGAUAUUAAAAAAAAUCACAAACAGAACUCACACAGAUUCCUUCCCUCCCCGCGCCCAACCUUCCCCUUCCCCACGAAAAAAAGAAGACAAACACUUUCAGUACAUCCCACACACAGUUUAUUAUAUAUAUAUAUAUAUAUUUCUAUUUUUGGAACGAUUCCCCGACAGUUUCAGUGUAUUUACCACCCAGCCCAACACGCCACACUUCUCUAUACACUGUAAAUAAUCUGUUUAGUCUCGCUUGAAUGUGGCCACACCCACACAACCAGUUCCCUACGCCAGUACACUGUAAAAAAUAAGUUCAGAUCAAGCCAAACCAAGUUGCAACUGUAGUUAAUACAGACGAGUUGGGCAUCAACAAGGACAGGUACAAGUCCCUGGCCGACGAGAUGGACUCCACAUUCGCCGAGUUGGCUGGCUACUAAGUUG
rnacentral:misc_RNA from 1 species